rnacentral:tRNA from 1 species
CGGGGUGUGGCUCAGCCCGGUAGAGCGCGUGGUUUGGGACCAUGAGGUCGGAGGUUCGAAUCCUCUCACCCCGA